AAUAUGUAGGAAGGGCCAUGAAACCUUCAUGUAGCCUUACCUUCAAGUAACCUCCAGCUCCCCUUCUCAACUUGGCAGCUGUCCUAAUGCAUGAUACACAUUGGUCGAGCAUUGAAGAACGGCCGACACUGCUGGCAGCCGCUGCCGAGCCUGGCCAGGCUGACGUGAUGUGACCUCGUACUUAGUGUUUAAGCUGUCUGGUCAUUCCCUCAGAGUGAUCACAGAUUCUACAUCCCACCAUGGCUCUGUGGAGUGUUCACCAACCCUAGUGCCCAAGCAGAUUUGUCUUCAUGCAACUAGAAUGGCGCUCCCUUAAAGAUGUCAGCAUUGGCUACCAGUGUUCUUCAGUUUGGAUGGUGAUUUCAUAGUGAAGGAGUCAGGAAGCCCGAAAGUAGUGUAAAACUAGCACUCUGGUUACAAUAUGGUACACACGAUAGGGUUAACUUGUACUUAAUACAUUAAUUCCUGGUGUUCCAGAGAAUUGUGCUUUCAAUGCUUAGACAAUUUAAAGUAUUUGUUUUAGAAGUUGUGAAUAAGUGAAAAGUUCAGAUAAUUGGCAAUAGACCUGUUUCCUUACAUAUUCAAAUUUGUAUGCAUACUUUUUUAAUUACAUUUGAUGUUGCAUAGUACAACAUUACAUGUAUCAUUGCAAACAUUACCUGCAUAUUUUGUGCCUAUUUUCGACCUGGUUAGUCUAUAUCAUACAUGCAUCUUCAUCAUUAUUAUGCAAGUUAUGAACUCCAUGUAGAUUUUCACAUUUCACUUGUUUCCAAUAAUGUUCAUUCAUGUUCACAUUUGAACAAUUGCGUGUUAUUGGCGCAUGAUUGAACCAAAGAUGACAGUAAACGUAAAGUAAUGGCUUUCAAAACAGAUUGUUUUAUUAUUCAUUCAAAGCUUUAUAUUUAUUGAAGAAGUAUUAGAUGUACAAUGAAAAGUAUGUGAGACAUGGAUAUAAGUAUUUAUUUGAGUCUUUCGUUUUUGUAUACAUGUUAAGUUAAGUAUACAAGUACAUUUAACACACAAAUAUACAGUGUUAUUGCAUUGAAGAAAAAAAA
rnacentral:lncRNA from 1 species